rnacentral:rRNA from 1 species
CCUACGGGAGGCAGCAGUAGGGAAUCUUCCGCAAUGGACGAAAGUCUGACGGAGCAACGCCGCGUGAGCGAUGAAGGCCUUCGGGUCGUAAAGCUCUGUUGUUAGGGAAGAACAAGUAUCGGAGUAACUGCCGGUACCUUGACGGUACCUAACCAGAAAGCCACGGCUAACUACGUGCCAGCAGCCGCGGUAAUACGUAGGUGGCAAGCGUUGUCCGGAAUUAUUGGGCGUAAAGCGCGCGCAGGCGGUCCUUUAAGUCUGAUGUGAAAGCCCACGGCUCAACCGUGGAGGGUCAUUGGAAACUGGGGGACUUGAGUACAGAAGAGGAAAGCGGAAUUCCACGUGUAGCGGUGAAAUGCGUAGAGAUGUGGAGGAACACCAGUGGCGAAGGCGGCUUUCUGGUCCGUAACUGACGCUGAGGCGCGAAAGCGUGGGGAGCAAACAGGAUUAGAUACCCUGGUAGUCCACGCCGUAAACGAUGAGUGCUAAGUGUUAGGGGGUUUCCGCCCCUUAGUGCUGCAGCUAACGCAUUAAGCACCCCGCCUGGGGAGUACGGCCGCAAGGCUGAAACUCAAAGGAAUUGACGG